GAACUUUGGGCUUGGAGAAUCGGUCCAACUUUGUUGUGUACUGUCUUCUCCAGGUCUUUCCUUCUGGUUCUCAUUUGGGGUUUACUCCAUUUGUUGAUCCAGGAUUUUUACUUUGAAAAAAUUAGAGUGUUCAAAGCAGGCGUUUUGCUCGAAUAUAUUAGCAUGGAAUAAUAGAAUAGGACGAUUGGUUCUAUUUUGUUGGUUUCUAGGACCAUCGUAAUGAUUAAUAGGGACGGUCGGGGGCAUCAGUAUUCAGUUGUCAGAGGUGAAAUUCUUGGUUUACUGAAGACUAACUACUGCGAAAGCAUUUGUCAAGGACGUUUUCAUUAAUCAAGAACGAAAGUUAGGGGAUCGAAGAUGAUCAGAUACCGUCGUAGUCUUAACCAUAAACUAUGCCGACUAGGGAUCGGGCGGUGCCUUUUAUUGGCCCACUCGGCACCUUACGAGAAAUCAAAGUUUUUGGGUUCUGGGGGGAGUAUGGUCGCAAGGCUGAAACUUAAAGGAAUUGACGGAAGGGCACCACCAGGAGUGGAGCCUGCGGCUUAAUUUGACUCAACACGGGGAAACUCACCAGGUCCAGACACAAUAAGGAUUGACAGAUUGAGAGCUCUUUCUUGAUUUUGUGGGUGGUGGUGCAUGGCCGUUCUUAGUUGGUGGAGUGAUUUGUCUGCUUAAUUGCGAUAACGAACGAGACCUUAGCCCUUAAAUAGAGUUGCUGGCAUUUGCUGGUAAAUCUUCUUAUGGGGACUAUCGAUUUCAAGUCGAUGGAAGUUUGAGGCAAUAACAGGUCUGUGAUGCCCUUAGACGUUCUGGGCCGCACGCGCGCUACACUGACGGAGCCAGCGAGCUUUUCCUUAGCCGAGAGGUUUGGGUAAUCUUGUGAAACUCCGUCGUGCUGGGGAUAGAGCAUUGUAAUUAUUGCUCUUCAACGAGGAAUUCCUAGUAAGCGCAAGUCAUCAGCUUAGCGUUGAUUACGUCCCUGCCCUUUGUACACACCGCCCGUCGCUAGUACCGAAUUGAA
rfam:Hanseniaspora uvarum DSM 2768 Contig_328, whole genome shotgun sequence.